GACGUAGGGGCCGAGCGUUGUCCGGAGUUACUGGGCGUAAAGAGCGCGCAGGCGGUCGAUCAAGUCGAGUGUGAAAGCCCCCGGCUCAACUGGGGAGGGUCAUUCGAAACUGGUCGACUCGAAGGCAGGAGAGGGUAGUGGAAUUCCUGGUGUAGCGGUGAAAUGCGCAGAUAUCAGGAAGAACACCAGUGGCGAAGGCGGCUCACUGGUCCAUUACUGACGCUGAGGUGCGAAAGCGUGGGGAGCAAACAGG
rnacentral:rRNA from 1 species